GUGAAUCAUCAAAUUUUUGAACGCAAAUUGCACUUUCUGGUAUUCCGGAGAGUAUGCCUGUUUGAGGAUCAGUUAAAUAAAAAUCGGUAUGGUUUCUGCCUUUCAUUGUUGCGGGUCGGAAGUAGGUCCUCUUACCUUCGGUUACGUUACUUAAAAUUUUUUCAUUAUUUUCGAUCGUAUUUAAAUC
rnacentral:misc_RNA from 1 species